GGACUACAAGGGUAUCUAAUCCUGUUUGCUCCCCACGCUUUCGCGCCUCAGCGUCAGUAUCGGUCCAGAGAGCCGCCUUCGCCACCGGUGUUCUUCCCAAUAUCUACGAAUUUCACCUCUACACUGGGAAUUCCACUCUCCUCUCCCGAUCUCUAGCCUCACAGUCCCAAAUGCUAUUCCUAGGUUGAGCCCAGGGCUUUCACAUCUGACUUGAGAGGCCGCCUGCGCGCCCUUUACGCCCAGUAAUUCCGAACAACGCUCGCCCCCUUCGUAUUACCGCGGCUGCUGGCAC
rnacentral:rRNA from 1 species